CCGCGGCCGGGUUGAAGCCAGCCGCGAAACGCGCAGCGGCGGCCUCAGCCUCCCGGGAACCCCUGCUCGGCGCCGGCCCCGCCCGGGCCGACCCAUCCGAAGAAAUGAGUGGUGGCCUGGCUCCAAGUAAGAGCACAGUGUACGUGUCCAACUUGCCCUUCUCCCUGACAAACAACGACUUAUACCGGAUAUUUUCCAAGUAUGGCAAAGUUGUGAAGGUUACUAUAAUGAAAGACAAAGACACGAGGAAGAGUAAAGGAGUGGCAUUUAUAUUGUUUUUGGAUAAAGACUCUGCACAAAGCUGCACCAGAGCCAUAAAUAACAAACAGUUAUUUGGUAGAGUGAUAAAGGCAAGCAUUGCUAUUGACAAUGGAAGAGCAGCCGAAUUCAUCCGAAGGCGAAACUACUUUGAUAAAUCUAAAUGUUACGAAUGUGGGGAAAGUGGACACCUAAGUUAUGCUUGUCCAAAGAAUAUGCUCGGGGAAUGUGAGCCUCCAAAGAAGAAAGAAAAGAAGAAGAAAAUGAAAACCACAGAACCGGAAGAAAUCGAGGACGCAGCAGGAAGCGAGGAUGAGGGCAAGGACCCCGCUCUGGACAGCCUCAGCCAAGCCAUCUCCUGCCAGUAAGCCAAGAUGGAAGAACAAAACAAAUGGAAAGUCAGUGCUGGGGUCCCUUCAACUUCCGAGGAUUCACGGCGCCCAAGGAUAAAGAAGAGCACGUACUUCAGUGCCGAGGAAGAGCUUAGCGAUUAGCAUCAUACACUGGAGAUGUCAGGAAAAUGAAAACCGUCUGCAAUAGAGUGUCUGCAGACAAAGACACUUGGGACCAGAUGCUAUUUUUUACAACAAAUGGUGCACAGAAAAUGAAACAAAAUUUUUGAAAUGAUUAUAGUUUGAGUUGGCCACAGUGACAACUCCUGUACUGCUAGCACUGUGGGAGGCUGAGGCAGGAUGACUGGGAGUUCAAGUCCAGCCUGGGCAACUUAGAAAUUGAACAAACCCUAUUUCAACAUAUUUUAACAAGUUAAACCAAGAAUGUAGCUCAGUGGCAGGACCUGGAUUCAAUCACCAGCACCAAAAAAAAAAAAAAAUCACAUUUCUACCUUGCCAAGGCAUAGUAGACUUAACAUCCCUAACCCAAAAUCCAAAAUGCUCUAAAAUCCUAAACUUGGAGCACCAAUGUGAUGGCUUGAGUGGAAAAUACACCACGCAAC